AUUGAACGCUGGCGGCAGGCCUAACACAUGCAAGUCGAACGGUAACAGGAAGAAGCUAGCUUCUUUGCUGACGAGUGGCGGACGGGUGAGUAAUGUCUGGGAAACUGCCUGAUGGAGGGGGAUAACUACUGGAAACGGUAGCUAAUACCGCAUAACGUCGCAAGACCAAAGAGGGGGACCUUCGGGCCUCUUGCCAUCGGAUGUGCCCAGAUGGGAUUAGCUAGUAGGUGGGGUAACGGCUCACCUAGGCGACGAUCCCUAGCUGGUCUGAGAGGAUGACCAGCCACACUGGAACUGAGACACGGUCCAGACUCCUACGGGAGGCAGCAGUGGGGAAUAUUGCACAAUGGGCGCAAGCCUGAUGCAGCCAUGCCGCGUGUAUGAAGAAGGCCUUCGGGUUGUAAAGUACUUUCAGCGGGGAGGAAGGGAGUAAAGUUAAUACCUUUGCUCAUUGACGUUACCCGCAGAAGAAGCACCGGCUAACUCCGUG
rnacentral:rRNA from 1 species